GGCUGGUGUUAUUCCUGGUCUUCAUCCCCACAGUUACCUGGCAGGCCCUGCCCCAGCCAAACCUGAAUAAGUCUGGACAGAUCUCCAGACUCAGAGCAUCUCACCGGCUCUUUGUUUCAGCUGCUGGAGCCACACUAUGUGGGCACACUCCCCGUCCCCCAGAGUCUGGCAAGGGACCUGGCACUCCGAGACGCCCCUCUGUCUGCUCCCGCCCGCUGCAACCACCACAGGCCACGAAAAGGCAGGCAAGGUCCAUUUUUAAAUUCCCUUAGAACUUUCACAACCACAGGUUUGGGUGAGGAGACAACACCUCUCUAGUUUGCUGACACGAAACUAAAAAUACCCAGCUGCGAACAAAAAGCCAUCUUUCACAGGGCUGGCUGGGACGCAGACGUUCCAUGUGGUCACUCGGGACAGGGCCUUGGCAGCGUGGCCACCGCUCAGGCUCAGGCCCGGCAGGCACAGGGCCCUGUGUCCCCUGGCUGUCAAGGAAUCCGGGGCAGCAGCCCUGCCUGCUGAGCAGGGAACAGCGUUAUUCCUGCCAUCUGUCCAGACACAGGCUUGAGGGCUCCGGAGCUGACUGCUGGAAGGGUGAGGUCACAGCCAAGACUCUGCUCCAGGACAUCAGAGGGCACCAGCCCGGAGUGCACCCCCGGAGACGUGGACGCUGGCUGCAGCCGACGCUGACCACGAAUCACCUUUCAGGAGAAGAAAGUCGCGCUCCUCGGAUGUGUGCAGGUACAAAGUGGGCCGAGCUUUCACAAGUGGACACAGACAUACACAACCUCCAUCACCACUACCAAGGCACAGGCACUUGCGGCACCGGAGCGCUCCCUCCUGCCCCCAACCCUGACCCAGCCCAGCAACCACGACCAACUUCACCUGGGUCUCUUUGCCUUUUCUGGAACUUUGCUCAGUAGGAUCUUACUGUCCGAAGCCUGCCAGGUCUGGCCCCUCAGAGGCAGUGAAAUUAUUUUGAAGCCCCUUCAUUUCGGUGAGAUGUUAAUAUUGCAUUUCUUUUUAUGGCUGAGUUGUACUGUGUACUUACUCCUGGGUGGUGGGUAUCACUGAACACCUUAUACACAGCUACCGAUCCUCACAUCGAUGGUACGGGACACACGUUACCCUUACCCACAGCUGACAAACAGCCUCGUAAAGAUCAAGAGAUUCAAGUCAGGUGUGGGGGUGCAGGCCUGAAAGCCCAGCAUUGGGGAGGCUGAGACAGGAGGGUCACUGCAAGUUCAAGGCCACCCUGGGCUAUGAAGUAGUUCAAGACCAGCCUGGACUGCAUGGUGAGACUCUGACUCCAAUAAAUGAAAAUUAAAAAAAGACCAAGGAACUCCUUCCCAUUCACACAGCCUGAGUGUUCCCCGGGCAGCAUCUGAAGCAAGGCCCUUGUUCUGGAUCUCAUCGGCUGCAUCCUCACAAACGCACACCCACAGCGCCCCCUCCAGGCUCCUGAGCAGGAUCAACCCCUCACGGGGGGCGGGGGCGGGGGCGGGGGCAGGGCAGAGAAGCUCCGAGUGGGGGCAGCAAGCAGGGGCCGCAGAUCGCUGACUUUCAGAGAGCCCUUCCUUCCUGCACGCCAGCGCCGUCAGUGAGGGGCACACAAUCUCCACCUUUGUCUUUCAUUCCCGGCCGUGAGCAGCCAGGCCCGGCAGUCCUUUAGGACCCUGGUUCUAGAUGAAAGGGCCCUCUGUGCGCCUGACCCCCAGCAGCAGACAGGCAGGAAGUGCGGAAAGAGGGAGUCACCCAAGCACUGGGCAGCGGAGAUCCGCCCCUAAGCAACGCGGGGGGCUGGGGUACACGUGAGGUGUGGACCCUGAAAUGUGAAGCCCUGGAUGUCAAAGGAAAGUGAGCGAAGAGAAACUGUAAAGACAAAGGUGGAGGAAAAUGCUCAAUGGGAAAGGAGAGGAGGGCCAGGGGCUUAACUUCUUCGCUGUACAUAAAAAGAGCUUGGGAACAAGUAAACCUUGUUAGCAAGUGGGCAAAAGAGGAAAACAGGACUGUUCUCAAAGGAGAGGCGACAGGAUAAUAAAAUCCGGGGUCACAUUCAAUUUCAGGGGUCAGAGAGGCAGACCAAACAGUAAGACACCUCUUUCUCUUCUUCUGUCUCUCUCUUUUUUUUUUUUUUUUCCUUGAGACAGUGUCUCACUAUGUGGUUCAUGCUGGACUUGAACCCACUAUACAGCCUAAGCUGGUCUCAAACUCACAGAGAUCUUCCUGGCUCAGCCUCCCAAGUGCUGGGGUUACAGGCCUGCACCACUGCACUGUUGCUCGAACAUCACUUUAAGUCUAUCCACGUAGCAAAGACUAUUGCUAAAUAAUACGUUGCCUUUGAUGCCAAGGAGGAUGCAAUGGGAAGAGACAUGCCCGUGCCCUGCUGGGAGAAGCAAGCAGAACAAGCCCUUUGGAAGGUGUCUUAGUCACUUUCUCCAUGCCUGGGACAAAAUACCUGACACCCAGACACUUACCUUGGCUCACACUUUGUACAGGUUUCAGUCCAGAGUCAGCUGGCUCAGGGGCCUGGCGGAGGAGAGCUGCUCACUGCAUGGGGCACAGGAAGCAGAGAGAGAUCAAGGGAGGAGCCGGGGAGGGAGACAGAACCUUCCAGGCCACACCCACAGGGACCCCUCUUCAGUCCAGACCCUGCACCCUGCCUCAUGUCAUCCAGUCACCCUCUGAAAGCUUUGGGGACAUCCACUCUCAGCCAUAACAAGGCCCUCACCAGCAGUGGCUGAGGCUCAGCUGUGGGUUUAGGGACAGUGGACUUUGGACACAGGCAGACCCAAAUUUGCCAUUGCUGAGUCUGUCACCUAACUUUUUUUUUUAAAUAUUGAAUACCAGAGAGAUCAAACUCAGGUCCCUGCACUUGCAAGGCAGGCGGCAAAACCACCGAGCUAAAUCCCCAGCCCUGUCACCUAACAUCUUAAAGUCUCCAUUUCCUUGAGUGUAAAAAGGGAGUAACAGGGUGAGGGAUUUAGCUCAGUGGCACUGCAUCUGCCUCACAAGCGCAAGGUCCUGAGUUCAAUCCCUGGUACCAGAAGGGAAAAAACAAAACAGGAAUGAUGAUCCCUACAGGAGACCUGCACAAAUCUAAGUCAGACCAGUCAGAGGUGCCCACUGCAGACACUAAAGCAGAAGCCAGACUGCUCAGAAGCAGAGGCCCAUUUGAGUGAUGGCAGCGACCAAACACAGCACCCAGAAGCAGUGGUCUUGCAGGACUGGUCAUGUCUGGGACUCUGCAGGCCUGCUUCCUGUGGUUGUUUGAGCUGAAACCCAGCCCUGCUGUCAUUUCUCUGGGCUGCCCAUCACCAAUAAAGCCCUUUUUUCCCUACUCAUAUUUUCUGUUGUUUGCAGCUAAAGCCCUCGGCCACUCAGAGCACAGAGCAGGUGGAGAGGCAGACCUUGUAGACCAGGAGACCCUGUGGCCAUGUUGCCAGUGUCCAAGGGCAUCGGGCUGAUUUCUCCCCCUUUGAUGGCCCCUACGUACCAGGCAGUAAACAACAAUGAAGGAUGCCAACGGUCAGCCCAGGCAAGCGGCUUUCUACCAUUCUUGGUCUUUGGUCUCCUUGGCAUGCCCAGGUCUGAUGGGGGUUGAGCUGCGAGCUGGGCAGGAGUCAGGAGGCCCAUGCUCGAUAGCUGUGCCAAUAAACUGUGUACCCUAAAUUCAUACACUGACCUCACCGUCAAUGUGACUAUUUGGAGAUUGGGUCUUUAAGGUGGUGAGGUAGUGAGGUUGAAGGUGGGGUCCUAGCCCAGGAGGCCGGUGUUCUCCUUAGAGGAGGAGGACCAGGACACACACAGUCUCUCUCCCUGUCUCUGUCUGUCUCUCUCUCUCCCUCUGAACACACACAGAGAGAGGCCACAGGAGGACACAGCAAGAAGAAAGCCAACUACAAGCCUCACCAGAAGCCGACCCUGCCAGAACUCAGUCUCUACAGCUGUGGGAAAAUGAAUACUGUUUAAGCUGCCCAGUUGGUGGUAUUUUGCCACGUAAGUCCAAGCAGGCUAAUACUGUGUCUGUGGGCAACUGGCUUUGUAGAGGAGAUCUGUCUCACUGGGGCUCCCCAGCAUCCUGCAGCAUCCUACAUACCAGUCCUUUCCACUCAAGAACAAGGUGCCUUCUCCCAGCAUCCCUUGCAGCUAAGAUGCAGCAUGUGACCAAGGCCCGGCCAAUCAGACACCACGCUGUGUGGGGAGAGCCCAGGCAGAAUGGUAUGGCUCUUAGUGGGGAGAAUCUUCCCUGGGUUCUGCCAGCUUCUGAUGGCUUCAGGCAGGCAUUCUUUGGUUUAUGGCACAAGAGUCUAAUCUCUGCCUUGGUCUUUAUGUGGCUUUCUCUGGUCAAGUCCUUUUCUAGCACUUAUAAGGACUUUUGUAAAGACACUUUUUCCAAAGAAGAUCACAUUCACAAGCCCCCAGGGUUGGGACAUGAACAUAGAUUUCAAUGGACACCAUUGGACCUGUGACAGACAGAAAUGGUGAUGUUCUCGGGCAGCCCUUGAGACUCUUGUUUCCGGUUAAUAGUCAAGGACCUCUUCUCCCACCCUCCUGGGAUUUCUGUGAGCUACCCAACAGCCUCAAAAACACUCAUGCUCUCUCUCUCUCUCUCUCUCUCUCUCUCUCUCUCUCUCUGAGUUGUUAGUGGUGUGGCUUCCUUUAACAAAGAACUCACUCUGAUCCUUGAC
rnacentral:lncRNA from 1 species